GAAAGCGUGACGGGGUCAUCCCGAGUGCCAUCCGCUGAGGGUGGCUUUUGCCUGGUGUAAUCAGCCAAGUGAAUAAGGGGAGGGCAAGUCUGGUGUCAGCCGCCGCGGUAAUACCAGCUCCUCGAGUGGUUGGGACGAUUAUUGGGUCUAAAGCGUCCGUAGCCGGCCGGAAAAGUUCCCCGUUAAAUCCGACGGUUCAAUCGUCGGGCUGCGGAGAAUACUCUUCGGCUUGGGGGCGGGGGAGGUCGGCGGUAGUCCCGGGGUAGGGGCGAAAUCUUAUAAUCCCGGGAGGACCACCAGUGGCGAAGGCGGCCGACUAAAACGCGCCCGACGGUGAGGGACGAAAGCUGGGGGAGCGAACGGGAUUAGAUACCCCGGUAGUCCCAGCUGUAAACGAUGCAGGCUAGGUGUCGGGAUGGCUACGGGCCACCUCGGUGCCGCAGGGAAGCCAUUAAGCCUGCCACCUGGGAAGUACGGUCGCAAGGCUGAAACUUAAAGGAAUUGGCGGGGGAGCACCACAAGGGGUGAAGCUUGCGGUUUAAUUGGAGUCAACACCGGGAAUCUUACCAGGAGCGACAGCUGUAUGAAGGU
rnacentral:rRNA from 1 species